GUGGGGAAUAUUGGACAAUGGGGGAAACCCUGAUCCAGCCAUGCCGCGUGUGUGAAGAAGGCCUUUUGGUUGUAAAGCACUUUAAGCGAGGAGGAGGCUACCGAGAUUAAUACUCUUGGAUAGUGGACGUUACUCGCAGAAUAAGCACCGGCUAACUCUGUGCCAGCAGCCGCGGUAAUACAGAGGGUGCAAGCGUUAAUCGGAUUUACUGGGCGUAAAGCGCGCGUAGGUGGCCAAUUAAGUCAAAUGUGAAAUCCCCGAGCUUAACUUGGGAAUUGCAUUCGAUACUGGUUGGCUAGAGUAUGGGAGAGGAUGGUAGAAUUCCAGGUGUAGCGGUGAAAUGCGUAGAGAUCUGGAGGAAUACCGAUGGCGAAGGCAGCCAUCUGGCCUAAUACUGACACUGAGGUGCGAAAGCAUGGGGAGCAAACAGGAUUAGAUACCCUUGUAGUCC
rnacentral:rRNA from 1 species